GACGAACGCUGGCGGCGUGCUUAACACAUGCAAGUCGAACGGAAAGGCCCUGCUUUUGUGGGGUGCUCGAGUGGCGAACGGGUGAGUAACACGUGAGUAGCCUGCCCUUGACUGUGGGAUAACUUCAGGAAACUGGGGCGAAUACCGGAUAUGAGCUCCUGCUACAUGGUGGGGGUGGGAAAGUUUCGGCGGUUGGGGAUGGACUCGCGGCUUAUCAGCGUGUUGGUGGGGUAGUGGCUUACCAAGGCUUUGACGGGUAGCCGGACUGAGAGGGUGACCGGCCACAUUGGGCCUGAGAUACGGGCAAGACUCCUACGGGAGGAAGCAGUGGGGAAUAUUGCACGAUGGGCGGAAGCAUGAUGCAGCAACGCCGCGUGCGGGAUGACGGCCUUCGGGUUGUAACCCGCUUUCGCCUGUGACGCAGCGUGAGUGACGGUAAUGGGUAAAGAAGCACCGGCUAACUACGUG
rnacentral:rRNA from 1 species